UAAGAACAUGGGAUGGGCUAAACGUUUA
rnacentral:piRNA from 1 species